UACAGAGGUCUCAAGCGUUGUUCGGAUUCAUUGGGCGUAAAGGGUGCGUUAGGCGGCGCGGUAAGUCGGGUGUGAAAUCUCGGAGCUUAACUCCGAAACUGCAUUCGAUACUGCCGUGCUUGAGGACUGGAGAGGAGACUGGAAUUUACGGUGUAGCGGUGAAAUGCGUAGAUAUCGUAAGGGAAGACCAGUGGCGAAGGCGGGUCUCUGGACAGUUCCUGACGCUGAGGCACGAAGGCCAGGGGAGCAAACGGG
rnacentral:rRNA from 1 species